CCUACGGGUGGCAGCAGUGAGGAAUAUUGGUCAAUGGACGAGAGUCUGAACCAGCCAAGCAGCGUGAAGGAUGACUGCCCUAUGGGUUGUAAACUUCUUUUAUAUGGGAAUAAAAUGUUCCACGUGUGGGAUUUUGUAUGUACCAUAUGAAUACGGAUCGGCUAACUCCGUGCCAGUAGCCGCGGUAAUACGGAGGAUCCGAGCGUUAGCCGGAUUUAGUGGGGUUAAAGGGAGCGUAGGUGGAAUGGUAAGUCAGGUGUGAAAGUUUGCGGCUCAACCGUAAGAUUGCAGUUGAAACUGGCAGUCUUGAGUGCGGUAGAGGUAGGCGGAAUUCGUGGUGUAGCGGUGAAAUGCUUAGAUAUCACGAAGAACUCCGAUUGCGAAGGCAGCUCACUGGACUGCAACUGACGCUGAGGCUCGAAAGUGUGGGGAUCGAACAGGAUUAGAUACCCGUGUAGUC
rnacentral:rRNA from 1 species